CCGCCAUUAGCUCAUCGGGAUAGAACGCCAGCCUUCUAAGCAAUCGGUCACUGGUUCGAACCCAGUACAACGCA
rnacentral:tRNA from 1 species